GGCCUCCGGCCUGGGGUGUCGGCGUCUACCUCCGCUGGCCUUGGCAUGGAUGUUUGUUUUCCUGGUGAAAACCAUGUCCGUGCUGCGGACUGGCGACGAUGGAGCCUAGUGCGUCAUGUCCUUGUUGGGGGCAUCGUUAUAUAUGGAACACUUCCAUGCCUCCUCUACUGCAUCCUGUCUCCGGCUCGGCCCGGUGUUGGCAUCCGCAUCUCCACCACCGCCUUUGGAGACCACAAGGUUUGUUCCUUGAUGAAAACCAUGUCCGGUGCUCGGAUUGGUGACAAUGGCGCCUGGUGCGUCAUGUCCCUCUUGAGGGUGUUGUCUUGGGACAUCUCCACGCCUACUUUGCUGGUGGCCUGGUUUCCUUGUGGCAUGCCAUGGGUGGUCGCCUUUUUGGGUGUUGCCUACUUGUGCUCCCUCGACACAUCAUCACCAUGGUCUACUAGUGCUGCGACUACUUUGGCGGAUACUUUGCCGUCAUUGUGCCGGCGGAUGCUUUGCCGCCCUGAUUCGCUUUGUCUGGCGGAUACUUCACCGCCCUUGCUACUCCUACUCUGGCGGAUGCUUUGCCAUCAUGGUUGCGCUGCUUGUUGGUCAUCUCCGGCGGAUGCUUUGCCGCCGUGGUGCUGCUACUUCUGGUGGAUACUUGGCCACCCUCUGGUUGUUUCGUAGUCUCAGUAAGCAACCUCGGUGAUAUUGUUCUUUGUGUAGGUUCACCUGUUUUAGGUCACUUGGUUGGUCUUGGCAGGAUGGGUGGGGUUUCCCCUUCUGUUCUGUGGUCGUUGUUCUGCUAGCUUUUGGCCGUUUGGUUUUUUGGCCUCUCUUCAGUUUUCUCUCUAUUUUUAGUCCUUUGUGUGCUUGUACAAGUCAACUUCUGUUUGGCCAGCAUCAAGCUAUGUUUGUAAACUGCUUCCUUCUUAAUGAAAUAUGUGCUAAGGCACGUUUAUAAAAAAAGAAUUUGCUUCCUCUCAUCCCUCUUUUAAACUUCCGCAUUUCACACUUGGAAUUUGUGUGUCUUUAUUUUUAUAGAAUAGUAUCUUGAUAGAUUUGGCUAUAGGUUGCAAAACUUAUUUUGAGAUGGGAGUUUCACUUAGUUGAACCCACUCUGGUUGCACAUCUAGAUAGUAUGAUCUAGUUUAUGUUUUGUGCAAGAAGGUCCCUGGGCCUGCAGAUCGCUACCAUUUUGUGAUGGAUUUGUCCCUAUGUUGUGUGAUCUAUUGGAAUCUGAGGACAAACUGGGAGAAUGUUGCAGCUUGCUCACCAUGACUCUUUGCGGUUUAGUUGAUCAUCUUGACCAGCUCUGCCACCAAGGUGUAGUGGCUGCAUUGCAUCAGUUGAGACCUCCACACGACUACACAUUAUUCUUUGAGUUCUUCUAAACAUUCUGAAAUUGUGAAAUUCGAACAUAAUUUUCAGUUACAAGUAACUGUUUGAAAUACUCUUCUACAGUAUCUCAUCAGGAACAUUAGUUUUCUUAUUAGUUCUGCUA